GCCUGGGGAGGAAACAAGAGGCCUGGCCUGAGCACUUGGGCUGCAGGAGCAAGUGCAGCCUGACACAGGCCCCAGAUGCUCUCACCUGCCCUGUUUGGGGGCCGUGGAGGGCCAACGACCCACUCCCCACAAUCUACCCAUGACAGGUAAAAGCAUCAAACUGUAGGGAAACAAUCGGAGACCACGACGCAUUCAUCAGCAGAGGAACGUCUCGUGAGUGGGACUCUGCAGCAUGGAAUACUACGCCGAGAUUUUCAAAAUACAAGUUCGUGACAUACUACAGAAGUAAACGCCAACCUGCAGAAUAUGUACAGUGCGCUACCAUUUUUGUCAAAGGAUGUGCCAAUAGUACACGCUCCUUCACUAGGGACACCUACACGCUGGGAGAGCUCCCGCCUGUCUUGAAGGAGGCAGGAGGUCUACAUGCUCAGCUGUCUGCCUGUGACUGGCAUGGGGUGACUGGAAUCGGGGUGGGCCCAGCCCGGCUAGGCUUCAGUCUCCUUGCUGGAAACAGGUAGGUUGGGUCUCCAGCCCCGCAGCCACAGCCUCGUUUCCUAUUACAAAGGUUACAGCAGGCUUCUGUUCCCCAAAGUCAGGGCUGGUUCCUCCCAUCUCCUCCAGCCACGUGCAGCUGUCCCAAACCCCAGCCCUGUGCUGGACUCUCCACAACGAGUCAGUCGCCAAGGCUUAUCCAUUCUGUCUCGCUAUAUCGCCCAGGCAGGUCUCAAACUCCUGGGCUCAAGCUAUCCUCCCGCCUCUGCCUCCCUAAGAGCUGGGAUUACAGGUGUGAGCCACCACGCCCAGCUAUCCGUCCUGCUUCUAAACCCCACUGGAUGGCUCCCUUCCCUGUCGUGCCACCAUGUCCCACACAGCCCAGGCCUGUCCUCUCCUGCCCAGACCACCCUCCCUCUAUCCUGUCCUCACCAGCCCCAGGGGACCUUUCCAAUGAAGUCAUGUUGUUCCUUCUCUACUCCAAACCUUGCCAUGGUUCCCGACCACCCACCCCAGCGAUUCAUUUUUGUUGUUGGUGGUGUUAAAAGAUAUGGACCCCUUCUGAAAAUCUCAAAGCUGCUGUUUCCCUUUUUCCAGAAAAAUGCACGCACUAUAAAUAUCCUGUCCACCUACUUCUAAAAUUUGGGCCGGGCACGGUGGCUCACACCUGUAAUCCCAGCACUUUGGGAGGUCGAGGUGGGUGGAUCACCUGAGGUUCGGAGUUCAAGACCUGCCUGACCAACAUGGCAAAACCCCAUCUCUAUUAAAAAUAUAAAAAUUAGCCUGGCGUGGUGGCAGGCGCCUGUAAUCCCAGCUACUCAGUAGGCUGCGGCAGGAGAAUCGCUUGAACCCAGGAGGCGGAUGUUGCAUUCAGCUGAGAUUGCACCACUGCACUCCAGCCUGGGUGACAGAGCAAGACUCUGUCUCAAAAAAGAAAAAAAAAAAAAAUUAAUGCUUCUGUUGGGCCAGAAACUGUUCCAAGAGCUUUAUGAGGAUGAUUUAGUCUUCCAAAUAACCCUACAUAGUAGGUAUAAUCGUGACUAUUGCCGUUUCCCAGAUGAAGGCACAGAAAGGACAAUGCCAAGACUUGGACCUGGACAGCCUGGGCGCGCACACUGCCUCCUGGACAGCCUGGGCGCGCACACUGCCUCCUGGACAGCCUGGGCAUACACACUGGUCCCCCCAUGGAAGCUGCGCUACAGUAUACUGGCUCACAAGCCAAGCCCCAGCUCCUGACCCUCGAUGAUCAGGACCCCACCGUCCUAUCCUGCUACACCCACUAUCUCAGCCCUGCAGCUGGUGGCACUGUCUCCUGCAGAGUGGACACCUCUCUCCUCUCUGCUGCAUCCUGCCCAGCUUCCUAAGCACACAGGCAGAUGCAUGCUCCUCCUAAAGCACCUCCUGAAGCCCUUCCUGCAGCUGUUAGCCCCCCUGCCUGGUCCAGGUCUCAGCUUAAACAUCACCCCCUCUCAGACCUUCCUGGGCCUGUCUCCCAGGUCAGGUCAGAUGCCCCUCGGUGGGCCCACCGCAACCUUCCCUGCAGCUGCCCCAGCAGGGAAGCUUCCUAAAGGGUGGAACCAGGCUGCAUUCACCCAACCAGUCUUUCUACUUGUGCAGAAAGUACACCAGUCUAUGCCUUGUGAGGACAAACGGGGACAGAAACUGAGGGCCUGCGGGGGGGAUGAAGAUGGAGACCCAGAGAGAGCAAGCAACAAGUGCAACCAAGAGAAAGGAAAAGAGACCCAGAGAAACAGAGCUUUGGAGGGAACAAGAGAGGAGGGCAUUCUUCGGGAAACAGGCAGACCCAGUGGAAUGGUCUGAGCUAAGAUUUGAAGGAGUGGCUGCAGAGGAAUAAGGACUUCGGGACAAUUCACUUUGAAAAGUGAAACAGUGACCCUCCGGUGGCAGUCAAUUGGCCUCAGGCAGCCACCCCACAGGCACCUUGCGCUUACCAAGCGCCCAACAGGACUGACUACCCACUUCUCUCCUGGGCAUCGCUGCUUGGCAGUGGGGGCCUGGGAAGGUGGCAGAGCCCAGCCUGGCCCCUGGAGUACCUGCCUCAGUGUCUCUCCUCAUCACCUCCUGGCCCUGUUGCCCGCCCUCACUACUACCUGCGGGUCCCCUUAGUCUCCACACCAGCCUCCUCAAUGCCCACUCAGGGUGUCCCCUUGGAACCAUCCAUCCCGUUAGCCCACAGAGGGGCCUCAGGCCCAUGCUGCUCCUGCCUAACAUUGUUCUGUAGCAGCGUUUCCGAAAGCGUGCUCCUGUCCUGGGAGAUGUUAAAGGAGUUGAAGAAGCACUGCCCGCCACCGUCUCCUCUCAGAAAUUUGCAGUGUGUAUUAUCAGCACAGCAAAGGCCCCAUCGCUUCCUAGGCUUAUUGGACUCUGGAGGCCACU